rnacentral:rRNA from 1 species
GAUGAACGCUGGCGGCGUGCCUAAUACAUGCAAGUCGAGCGAACAGACGAGGAGCUUGCUCCUCUGACGUUAGCGGCGGACGGGUGAGUAACACGUGGAUAACCUACCUAUAAGACUGGGAUAACUUCGGGAAACCGGAGCUAAUACCGGAUAAUAUAUUUAACCGCAUGGUUCAAUAGUGAAAGACGGUUUUGCUGUCACUUAUAGAUGUAUCCGCGCCGCAUUAGCUAGUUGGUAAGGUAACGGCUUACCAAGGCAACGAUGCGUAGCCGACCUGAGAGGGUGAUCGGCCACACUGGAACUGAGACACGGUCCAGACUCCUACGGGAGGCAGCAGUAGGGAAUCUUCCGAAAUGGGCGAAAGCUUGACGGAGCAACGCCGCGUGAGUGAUGAAGGUCUUCGGAUCGUAAAACUCUGUUAUUAGGGAAGAACAAAUGUGUAAGUAACUAUGCACGUCUUGACGGUACCUAAUCAGAAAGCCACGGCUAACUACGUG